rnacentral:rRNA from 1 species
GACGGGGCUCGCACAAGCGGUGGAGCAUGUGGUUAAUUCGAAGCAACGCGAAGAACCUUACCAGGUCUUGACAUCCCGAUGCUAUUCUAGAGAUAGAAAGUUACUUCGGUACAUCGGUGACAGGUGGUGCAUGGUUGUCGUCAGCUCGUGUCGUGAGAUGUUGGGUUAAGUCCCGCAACGAGCGCAACCCCUAUUGUUAGUUGCCAUCAUUCAGUUGGGCACUCUAGCGAGACUGCCGGUAAUAAACCGGAGGAAGGUGGGGAUGACGUCAAAUCAUCAUGCCCCUUAUGACCUGGGCUACACACGUGCUACAAUGGUUGGUACAACGAGUUGCGAGUCGGUGACGGCGAGCUAAUCUCUUAAAGCCAAUCUCAGUUCGGAUUGUAGGCUGCAACUCGCCUACAUGAAGUCGGAAUCGCUAGUAAUCGCGGAUCAGCACGCCGCGGUGAAUACGUUCCCGGGCCUU